CCUCUUCAAGAUGAAGAAAUUGUCUCCUACAUCCUGACUGGUCUUGGGUCAGAUUAUGAGUCCUUUGUAACAUCCAUGGCUACUCGGGCUGAACCAGUGGGGUUAACUGAACUUUAUUCCCAUCUGAUCAGUCACGAGC